GCCAUCUGCAUUCGUUUGCUCGCUCUCCGCGGACGUCCU
rnacentral:misc_RNA from 1 species